ACGGGUGAGUAAAGCACAAGGACUUGUCCGAAAGAGAGGGACACCUGCGGGAAACCGGAGCUAAUACCUCAUAAGCCGGAAGGUGAAAAGCAGAGAUGCGCUUUUGGAGAGACUUGUGUCCUAUCAGGCAGUUGGUGAGGUGAAAGCUCACCAAACCGAAGACGGGUAGCCGGACUGAGAGGUCGACCGGCCACAUUGGAACUGAGAGACGGUCCAGACUCCUACGGGAGGCAGCAGUGGGGAAUAUUGGGCAAUGGGCGGAAGCCUGACCCAGCGACGCCGCGUGAGGGAAGACAGCCUUCGGGUUGUAAACCUCUGUUGCAGGGGAAGAAGGAAGUGACGGUACCCUGCGAGGAAGCUCCGGCUAACUACGUGCCAGCAGCCGCGGUAAUACGUAGGGAGCGAGCGUUGUCCGGAAUUACUGGGCGUAAAGGGCGCGUAGGCGGCGCUUCAAGUCGUCUGUCAAAUGGAAGGGCUUAACCCUUUUUCGCAGACGAAACUGGAGAGCUUGAGAAGCAGAGAGGCAAACAGAAUUCCUGGUGUAGCGGUGAAAUGCGUAGAUAUCAGGAAGAAUACCAGUGGCGAAGGCGGUUUGCUGGCUGCAUACUGACGCUGAAGCGCGAAAGCCAGGGGAGCGAACGGGAUUAGAUACCCCGGUAGUCCUGGCAGUAAACGAUGUUCACUAGAUGUGGGAGGUAUCGACCCCUUCCGCGUCGACGCUAACGCAUUAAGUGAACCGCCUGGGGAGUACGGCCGCAAGGUUGAAACUCAAAUGAAUUGACGG
rnacentral:rRNA from 1 species